CUGGGCCCAGCCCAGACCUCAGAGCGCUGCUGGCUGGCUGCUCGUGCUGCCCGCAGAGGCCCAGGUAGCCAGCCCUCCUCAGAUUGUGGCUGGAGGCUUCGUGGGAAUAUGGGUGGGAAUGGGGAGUUGCAGAGAAAGCAUGGGUUCCUGAGUCAGAAGCCCUGGAUUCAGGUCUCAGCUCGAACACUGACUAGCUGUGAGACUUUGGGCUGGUCCAUUUUGCCUCCCUGAGCCUCAGUUUCCACUUACGGAAAACAGGGUGAGCGCCUGGCUUUUAACCUGAACGAGAUGACAUAUGUAGCAGAUUCCUUUCGACCUUGCCACACAUAAAGUGGACACUCAAAAAAUGGGAGAUCCUUUUGCCUCCAACUCCUCAUCUGAGGAAGUGCCUCCUGGAAGCACUCCUCAGUACCUACACUGCUCCCAGGACUGGGUGUUGAACAAGGAAGGUUUGUGGAGAGGCAGCAUGCAGGGAGGGCAAGAUGGGGCUGUGGUCUCCAUGGUGAGACUUGUUGCCAAGGGAACAAGACUCCAAGAGCCCCGGGUCUGGCAGUUGGGCACUUUUGCCAUAGGAUCUGAGAGACUGAUUACCACUGUGGACCUAAAACCCUGAUGGGCAGCCAGGCCAAGGCUCCUGGCUCUGCUGAGUUUCUGCUGUUGGGGUGUAGGGGCGACAGCUCCCCGUACCCAGCCUCCUUUCAGGGAAAUUGAGGAUCGGAGAAGCAUCUGUCUGGGUCAAGGUCACAUACAACCAGGAAGGGCAAGAACUGGAACGAGGAGUUGCAGAAAAAGCAUGGGUUCCUGAGUCAGAAGCCCUGGAUUCAGGUCUCAGCUCCAACACUGACUAGCUGGUGAGAUCUCUGGUUGAUGUGCCUGCUGUCUCAUAGACUGCUUGAAGGAAAUGACCCCUGGAAAGAGCUCUGUGUAGUCAGACCCAACCUCAUCCCAGGACUCUCCCUUGCCAUCAUUUCCAGGGGCGUCUGUCUUCAGACUCUGACUUAAUUUGGAGUAGCCAGCUUUCCCUGUUUCUUCAGGUUCACCCAAAGGCCAUUACUGAGCUUUGCUACAAACUCUGGACGCCCACAUUCAGCACUACUGAAUUGCUAAGACUGAGCAGGGAGGAAGCCUGUUGCAACUUUAGUAUCAGAUAGACCUGGAUUCAAAAGCCAAUUCUGCCACUGACUCAUGUGUCAUCUGAAGCAAAAGGCUUAACUUCCUUGAGCCUCAAUUUGCUUAUUAGAAAACCGGGGCUGACACCUACCCCUUGCAAGGCCGUUAGGAAGAUUACUGAGGUGACACGCGCGAAGCACCAAUCACAGUGCCUGGACUCUCGAGGCGGUGGGCCAAUGCGUCCCUUCUCCUCCCGGCACCUCUGUGUAUCUGUUCCCUCUUGUGGGGCAAGGAAGACAGUCUAUUAAUUCGUUCUGCAGCAUUUCCUUUGUUCUAAACCCAUCUCUUUCAAAACUCAAGGGCUCUCUGGUUUCUUGUGCUGGAGGCUGAGGAAUGGGAAGGCAGCUGGGCUUCCCUCAUUUCACACAAGAGGAUUAAUAGACUUUGAUCAAACCCUCCUCAGCCUUUAUCUUCCCAGCCUGAGAAGCCUUCAUCUCUCCCAUCUGUCUUCAUACACCCUCAACCCAAACUCUGCCACUUCUCUGAUCAUAUGAGCAGGCCUACAGGACAGUUGGGUAGAUCUGGGUUCAAGUACGAACUUAACACUCCUGUAUGAUUUUGGCCACAUCCCUUGAUCUCUUAGAGCCUCCAUUUUUUAGCUCUAGAAAAGCUAUUAAUAGAUCUCACCUAUUUUCUGGACAGACAGUAUCACUUUGUUAGAGCACAGUGCAUCCUAGACCAUCCAUUGGCCUCUCGUGCACUAUGACGCUGCCCUCUUGCCCAAGACUCAGCUGACGGCCUUCUUUCCCCACACUCCUGAAUGUGGCAUCCAAGGCUCCCAAUUGCUUCUCCAGCCUCAACUCUUGCUAAUCCCUCCCACCUGCCACCAUUCCAGUCACGGCAGUCCCUUGUUAUACCGGAACACUCCGUCUUUCUGAUACAGCCAGCCCUUUGGACAUGGAUCCCUCCACCUGGCCUACCUGUGGAUCCCUUUGCCUCGUGACUUUCUUCAAGGGCCACCUUCAACAACACUCAUCUGUGAAGCUCUUCCUGACUAUCCUGCAAAGAACAAGCCACUCCUUCUCCAGGCCCUUACAACCCCACAUACAUUCCUAAUGACAACCUCAUCCCCCCUCCACUGCGGUCUAUAUCUGCCUCUCCACUAGGCUCACUUCUCUGGUUGUGCCACUCACCCCGGGAGAGUCUUUUCACCUCCCUCAACUGUAGUUUCUUCACUUACAAAAUAGAAGUAAUAAUCCUUGAAGUUCAAUAUGGUGCCUGGGACACAAGGUGGGCACUUCAGUCAGUGCUGGUUCAUUGAUUCAGGCAGUUCUGAGACACCGGCCCCUGCCAGAGCCUCAGCAACAGUAAUUGAGGUGGGUGUCAGCUAUGAGCAAGAGCCACAGGUCUGAAGGCACAAGCCGGCACCUCAGGACACGCCAUCAUCCCUCCCCAGAACCCCAGACAAGCUUCAUAGACAGAUGCCAUGUGCAGAAGGAUUCACAUUUAUUGGUUCAAAUACAGUACCUAACACUUGCUAAACAUGCAUUUCACACUAAUUGGUCACAUUUCCACAGGUAGUCAAUUCACAGAACAGGGCCCAUCCCUUGCCAGCUGGCAGGGUGGGAGGUAGCAGAGGGCCUGGGUAGCCUGCAGAGCCCACCAGCUAUCAUUUGGUCAUGCAGGGUUGAUGGAGUCAGGCUGGCAGGCAGCCCUUGGCCGGCCCUUUGGGGACAAGGGCUCAGGGACAUCCCGUUUCCUCGAUUCCUACACACAGGACUGUGGGUGGAGGUGGACCUAGGGCAGGUAACCCGGGGGUAGGCUCGUGGAUGUGUGUGCCACCAGAGCCCCUAAAGGUAGUGUCUAUGGGAGUGAUGCUCCCUAUGCCCUGGAGCACAGGAAGGAAAUGGAGGCCUCUUCACGGGGGUGACCAGUCCCUGGCUGGGUAGGUGGGAAGGAAUCCCCAGACAUAGACCAGACACUACAAUGCAGCCACCAGCCCCUAUGGCAGACCUGGGAUGGCAACACAGACAAAAACACCAACAGCCCAGGGCAGGCGGGGCUUCUUUCCCGACAGAAACAAGUAAACAGAGCAGGAGCUACAGUAUUCUUUUCCCACAGGAUUGCUCAGAGAGGAAUCGACCAGGAUGUCGCUUAAGAGGUAGUUUUUUUUUUCUUUUUCAUGGAAAUUUGAGUCAACAACAUUAUCAUCUAUUACAAGACAUUUUAGAGAAAGAAAACAAUGGUCAUCAAAGGGCAAAGACAGCAGGGCUAGAUCUGGGGACCAGCCUCCACCAGUAACACAACUUUUGUUCUUGGGCUUGGAGCAGGCUCUGACCUUACUCACCGCCUCCCUUUGAGCCUACAGUUGAUUCCUGUGCAGGCUGUGGCCCAUUUAGGGCUUCAGGCCCAGAAGACGGAUGCUAGAUGGGGACUGGGCUAGACAGAGGGACCAGGCUUCUAUGAGCGGGAAGAGGCAGGGCCACCGUGGCUUAUGUUGUAGGACAGCUAGAAGGCUUCAAUCUCAUGGUGGCCCAGGUCUGGCCAAAGCGGAAGCCCCAGCUUGCUCCAGACUUGGCAGGCUCUCUGGAGCUCCCGCCUUGGAGGAAACAGUUCAGGUAUGGCUCCCAAGCCCAGAAAAAAUGUUGCUGUGGCAGCCUAAAGAGGAGUUUCUGGGGAUCCUGUAAUUAAAUACACAUCCCUGAGCUGUGGCCCCAGAAACCCUUGUCUCCAGGCUAACCAGUUUCCAACACGUGGUGGAAUGACUGCCGUUUCUCAUCCUGACACACAGAUAAAACAUCAUUUCACAGACACUGGACAUAGAUGCUUCAAGCCAAGCAGAAAGGGAGGAUGAUCAACUGCAAAGGCAGAGGGGAGUGCAAGGGAACUCUCAUGGGCUGGGGUAGGGGGAGGCAGGGGAGUAAGAGUAGCUUUUUUUUUUUUUUUUGGUUAAAUUUUGUUUGUUUUUUUGUUUUUUACUUAAAAAAAUCAAUUAAAAAAUUCAAAGCUUAAUAAAAGGGCUGGUCUGAAAGACUGGAUUCUUAAAACAAUUGCAAAAAUUUCAAAAGCAACAAGGAAAAAAGAUAUAUACCAGGGGCCCAGAGAGGAGGGCCUGGAACCACAGCUCAGCUUUCUGUCCUGCUGAGAGGACAGGGUUCCCUUAAUUCGACCAACCUUGGACAUGGCUUAGAUGCUGCCCACAGUGGGUUUGUCUGUCUCCAUCAGUCCCAUUCCCCCAGGAAAUC